rnacentral:lncRNA from 1 species
CAAUGUUAUUUUAUAAUUACAAAAAAGAAAAAAUACCAAAGAAACAAAAGCAUUAUAAAUACCCAAAACAAUGAAAGGAAGCACCAAAAAUCGAGUUUGGAGUGAUUGACAUGGAAGCUCAAGCUCUUUGCAAAAGAGCUUGAAGAUGCACCAAAACACCAAUUGAACCAGAACCAGUGAAAGCAGUCAACGAAGCAAUUACAGAGAGAAAGAGAGUGAAAGAUGUCUGACCUAGAUACAAUUCUGAAUAAUUCAACAAUUAAAUUGACGAGGUAAUUAUAUUCAUGUAUUUUCUGAAACAAAACGCGUACGUAUUCAAUGCCAAUUCCCCGAGACUUUGACAUGUUCCUACCAAUAUCUAUUCUUGAACUUUGGCUUAAGCCCUGAUUUAGAAAAAUCAAUCACAGUGAUUAUUGGCUUUUGCCUGCAACAUCUUCAACAAGUGAGUUAAAAUUUUAUUUACUUUGCAACAUCUUUUUUAAUACACUACUUCUGAUUCUUAUUGGGAAAAAUAAUAGCACAAUAACGAUAACAUGAAUUAAUUUUUUUAUUAGCAAUACACACAUACUCAUGGUGAUUGAUGAAUUCAUUUUAGAAUAUGUGUAAUUAAUAGUAUAGAAAUUACUAUCAAGAUUAACGAAGUCAGAGAUAAAGUCUCAAAUUAAUACUUAAAAGAGUACUAGAGAGUAGAGGCAACAAAACUUAAAAUUUCUAUACAUCUGGUCAAAAGUCAAACAACAAGGCAAAAAGCUAAAAUAGAGAACUAACUAUUAAGAUUCAAGAACCUGAUGUUGCAAACCUGCUGUCUAAUUUUCAGCAUGAUGCAACGGUGAAUGAAACUACAGGGAUGACUCUACUAUGGCUGCCCUGAGUUUGAGUGGG